GAGGCUGUAGCUCAAUGGCAGAGCGCUUGCCUAGCAUGCAUGAGGCACUGAGUUUGAUCCUCAGCACCAUCU
rnacentral:tRNA from 1 species